GUAAAAGGAAUUUGCAUAUUUGAUCAGGUCUGGAAUUGUGCUCGAUUCAAUUUGAACCUUGCCUUGUCUCAUGCAUUAAUAUCCCAGGAUCCACUUUUCCUGCAGAAUACCAAUAGUAGAGCAUGUUUAUUAAUUUUUUUAUAAAUUGGCUCUGACGGGUUCAAAUUCGACAUCUUUUAAUCUAAAGACGACUCCAGUACAAUGGGUUUGGUCUCAUGGUUUAGUACACGUGAAACUCAUACGAUUCAAUGGUCUAAAUUCAUCAAACAGUACAUUUCCCUUCAAGCACAUGCAUGGAAUCUGCUUUAGCAUAAAUCCAUGACUGAUAUAUGUGGACCAAUUCUUAACCAUUAAGCUGAGACCAAUAGAAAAAGGAUAUGGAGUGUGAAUGCAGAAAAUUAAGCAAGACCAUCUUUUUCUCUCACCUGAAGAAACUUCUCCUGAUAAUACCAUGUUCCAAUAGAAUAUGGUUGCUUAUCAAUCAGGAAAUUGCUAUAUUGAAUUCCUCCAGAGGAAAAAAAAGGGUGAAGUUGAAAUAUCAUCACUAAUAGUAGAUCAAAAGAGAUGGAUUAGUUUGACAGAUGAAAUAAGGAAUUUCCCAUCAACCAAACACAUUUAGCACCGUGGAAAUGAAGCUUUUGUGGAUUAGUUUGAGGGAUGAAAUUCCAGGUCCCUGGAAGAAAAGUAUAAACUACAAGUACAAAUCAAUCUGUUCUAAAUUAAUUUCCAACUUUUGCUGGCAUAUCAGUACUCUUUAACUGCUUUGAUGCUUUAGGAAUGGGAAAUUUACUAUCAGAUCCCUAGACUUUUAUAAAAUUUACAAAAAAAAUUUACUAUUGAGUCUCUUAAUAUUGCAUUAUUAACAAAUUAGUUCUUUUAUUUUUGAUUAAAAAAAUAAAAAAUAUAUAUUAAACAG
rnacentral:lncRNA from 1 species